rfam:Chlamydomonas reinhardtii strain CC-503 cw92 mt+ CHLREscaffold_5 genomic scaffold, whole genome shotgun sequence.
GGGAGUUUGGUCUAGUGGUAUGAUUCUCGCUUCGGGUGCGAGAGGUCACGGGUUCGAUUCCCGUAACUCCCC